AUUGAACGCUGUCGGCAUGCCUAACACAUGCAAGUCGAACGAGUUGCGGCCGGGUGCGUAAUGUCUUGUAAACUGCCUGAUGGAGGUGGCUACCUCCUGGAAACGGUAGCUACUACCGCAUACCAUCGUCUGUGACCAGAUUGGAUUAGCUAGUAGGUGGGGUAAAGGCUCACCUAGGCGACGAUCCCUAGCUGGUCUGAGAGGAUGACCAGCCACACUGGAACUGAGACAAGGUCCAGACUCCUACGGGAGGCAGCAGUGGGGAAUAUGGCACAAUGGGCGAAAGCCUGAUGGAGCCAGGACGCGUGUAUGAAGAAGGCCUUCGGGUUGUAAAGUACUUUCAGCGGGGAGGCGUUACCCGAAGAAGAAGCACCGGCUAACUCCGUGCCAGCAGCCGCGGUAAUAC
rnacentral:rRNA from 1 species